rnacentral:rRNA from 1 species
GAUGAACGCUGGCGGCGUGCCUAAUACAUGCAAGUCGAGCGAACAGACGAGGAGCUUGCUCCUCUGACGUUAGCGGCGGACGGGUGAGUAACACGUGGAUAACCUACUUAUAUGACUGGGAUAACUUCGGGAAACCGGAGCUAAUAACGGAUAAUAUAUCGAACCGCAUGGAUCAAUAGUGGAUGGCGGUUUUGCUGUCACUGAUAGAUGGAUCCGCGCCGCAUUAGCUAGUUGGUAAGGUAACGGCUUACCAAGGCAACGAUGCGUAGCCGACCUGAGAGGAUGAUCGGCCACACUGGAACUGAGACACGGUCCAGACUCCUACGGGAGGCAGCAGUAGGGAAUCUUCCGCAAUGGGUGAAAGCCUGACGGAGCAACACCGCGUGAGUGAUGAAGGUCUUCGGAUCGUAAAACUCUGUUAUUAGGGAAGAACAAAUGUGUAAGUAACUAUGCCCGUCUUGACGGUACCUAAACAGAAAGCCACGGCUAACUACGUG